GAUGAACGCUGGCGGCGUGCCUAAUACAUGCAAGUCGAGCGAACAGAUAAGGAGCUUGCUCCUGUGACGUUAGCGGCGGACGGGUGAGUAACACGUGGAUAACCUACCUAUAAGACUGGGAUAACUUCGGGAAACCGGAGCUAAUACCGGAUAACAUAUUUAACCGCAUGGUUCAAUAUUGAAAGGCGGCUUUGCUGUCACUUAUAGAUGGAUCCGCUCCGUAUUAUCUAGUUGGUAAGGUAACGGCUUACCAAGGCAACGAUGGGUAGCCGACCUGAUGGGGUGAUGGCCCACACAGGAAGUGAGACACGGUCCAGAGUCCUAGGGGAGGCAGCGGUAGGGACGCUUCGGAACAGGGCGAAAGCCUGACGGAGCAACGCAGCGUGGGUGAUGAGGGUCUUCGGAUCGUAAAACGGUGUUAUCAGGGAAGAACAAAUGUGUAACUAACGGUGCACAUCUGGACGGUACCUGAUCAGAAAGCCACGGCUAACUACGU
rnacentral:rRNA from 1 species